CGCUAAGCGCCAAGACUGAAAGUUUAGUGUUAUAGGUAUUUGGCCGGUUUUUAUUAAUUUGAUUAUAUUUAAUAGCAAUGGUGCAAUAUUGUUGCUGUUAUGGGUGCAAAGAAAGAUAUGUGAAAGGAGGAACAGUUACUUUUCAUAGUUUUCCGAAAGACGAGCGAAGAGCGAAAAUAUGGCUCCAGAACAUAAAUAGACCGAAUUUCGUCCAUUCAAGGUACUCGAAAGUGUGUUCGAAGCACUUUACGGAAGAAAGCUUUGAUAGGGAGAGGUUUGGAGGCGUCUGGCUCAAGAAUGAUGCUAUACCAACAGUUUUUGAUUGUUGUGAGCGCCCACCAAAAGCAGCAGCAAAAAAACGUCCACCAAAAAGAGAUAAUUCACAAAAUCUUAAUGAGCUCCUGGCAAGCAUUCAGAGUAGAAAUGUUCCGAUUCUACCAGCGCCCUCUACUUCAGCAAACAGUAAAAGACAUUACAGUAUUUGGUGUAUUUCAGUAGUGCCACCAUCGGCACCCAAACCUGAGCAAACUUGGCCAGAUGAUGAAAGAAACAGGGAAAUUACUGCAUUAGUAGGUGAAUCAAACAUUAUGCCAAAUGAUUCAGCUACCAACAAAAUGCAGUUGGGAAUUGCCACGAAAAAGGAGUUAGAUGACAGAGAGAAUCGAGACUAUUUUUUGUGUGGCACAGUGAAGCAGGAACAGGAGUAUGAGCACGCGGUUGUGAAGAAGGAACCAGAAGGAGACCCUGAUGAAUCUAUGUAUUCAGCAACUGAAGAGGAGUGUGAGCACGUCGUUGUGAAGGAAGAACCAAUGGAAGAGCCUGAUGAAUCUGUGAAUUCAGCAACUGAAGCGGGAUGUGAAAUCACGAUAGUGAAGGAGGAACCAGCAGAUGAGUCCACAUAUGCAGCAGGUGAAGAGGUGUGUGGGAGGAUAAAUGUGAAGGUGGAACAGGAGCCUGAAUACGAAAGGAACUCCUGUGAGGAACACAGAACACAGGAACCAGAAUACAUAGAAGUGAAGAGCGAACCACUCGAGGCAGAGGAAGUUACUGGUGACGGAGCCACACAUUGGGACUCCCUCUGUUUCUGGUGAAUGUUUUUCCCCAAGCUUCACCACCAACUCACUUGAUAUUUCUGGCACAAAUGUGACAAUAACAGCAGGCUGUAAGAUUCUGGAAAUUCACUGGUUUCUAUAAAGGAAGGGGGAUGGGGGACAACCCAGAAAGUUUUAUUUCAAAUGUGAUGAUGUGUACAAUCUCGAAAGACAUUCAGGAGAAUGCAAUGUGAAACUGGAGAGAGAUUACCUUAAUCAGUAGAUGCAGUGCAAAACUUUUUCUUAAGCAGUUGAUGCAUGUACAGCACCAGCACUGCAUCUAGCUACACUUGGCCCACAACAAUGUUCCUGUAACACCUCCAUCUGAAGAUAAGGCACGAAAACAUGUUCAAGGUUGAAUAUUUAUUACCAGAUGAAUGCCAAUACUGCAGUCUUUGCUAUUGUAAUGUAUCAUUUUACAAGCUAUACAGAUGUAAUAAACUGAUAUUAAAAAUUUCUGUUAAUAGUGGCAACAGAAUUGGAAAAUCACAUUAAUGGGCAACUAAGAAAUAUCUCUAAAAUAUUUAUAUUAACAUCCAGUCUUAAAUGAUUCAACAAUUUUAUCUGCAUUUAAUUUGCAUUUCAAUCAAAAAUUUGUGCUUACCAAAUGUGCCACAUCAUGGAAAUGACGCAAAUGGUGAUGACAUCUCACUGAAGUAAAUAUGUGAGCAAUCACAAAUAAGUUACACAUAUCAUAGGAAAUGUUACAGAAAAUGACAAUUUAAGUUGUAAAGCAAACCUGCAUGUGAUUCAAGGCAAUACAAGCUUGUAUGAUAUAUAUACACACACACACACACACACACACACACACACUCUUGACACAGGAAUAAAGUAUUACAAUAAACUUCCAGAAAAAUAACAUUAAAUAUAAAAUCAUUUGCUAGCACAAUUACUGAAUGUUUAUAGCCACUAAACAGAAGGAAUUUUUUAUGAACACUAUAUUUAAAUCUAAAAUCCAAAUUCAUAUAUGUUGCAGUGCAUAUGGUUCUAUCAGCAAAAUAAAUAAAUAAAAUGCAUAAAAACUAAUUAGAAAUUUAAUUUUACCAGCUUUUACUACAUCUUUCACGGUCCUGUAAGAGAGUUUCAUGAAUACAUACUGAAGUUGAUGCUCUGUACAUUCAUUCAAAUAUGUAUGCAUUGCAGGAAACUUUUUUUUUUAAUAGCAUUAACACAACCAAUUUACACUGCAUUGAAAGUGAAAGAAAAAAAAUGUGAAGUCCACAUUGUUAUUCACAUAUCUGCAGAAAUACCUAAAGGGGUUACAUUUUGCUUAAAAGUAUUAGAACUUCAACAUUUCUCUUAUUGCCAAUUGUAUGGUGGCAAUUUAUCACUUCCACUCACAAAUGGCAGUCAACAGAUUUCAACAAAAAGCUAAAGACAAUAUAUUGAAGUAUUCACACAAUGUAAAAUGUCAUCACUGUUUUUUCUAAUACAAAUAAUUUAUUUCCCAUUAAUAUAACAUAAUUUUAUUGAGAAUGCAUGUGAAUUUAGUGGUAGUGAAAUGGCACAGCGGGGGGUGGGCACGACAAGAGUGACUCUGAAUAUAAUGUAAAACAUGCUGCCUCAUCUGGAACACGGCAAAAUUUGAACUCAAUGUUGUAUCUGGUCAAGAAUGUGUUAAAAGCCAAGUUAAAAAAAUGGGUAUGUAGCUUGAUACCAGGUUAAUGUAUAUAAAUAAAUAAAACAAGUAGCCUUGUUUGUUUUUACAUACCUUGAAUUCAAAAUUUAACUACAGUUUUCCACAAGAAAAUUAUUCCUUUGUCUAUAAGUGACAUUACUCUGACAUCAUCGCCUCCAUCUUUGUUCCCAUAACAACUGAGUCACAAGAUCCCUCUCAGCAUAUUAAAUUGGAAUUCAACAAAUCUGUCAAGCCUCACAUUUGUGAUCUGCCAUUUGGCAACACUGGCAAAUUAUGCAGUGCAGCACACAGUAAAAGAAACCUCAAGUACACGGUCAAAAAUUGUAUAAUUGUGUUUCUCCACAAUUUGAGUAGGUAUGUACUCACUUCAUCACUGAGCACAUGGCUGGUAUACCACCUUGUAGACAUGUUCAGGCAAUUCUAGAGCAUAAUCAUGACAGCAUCCUCUCCACUAUUUCAGUAAAUGAGAAAUCUUAAAAUACUGAAAUUGGUGAUCUCAUGCAGUAAAUAUAAGUGAUGGAAGUUUUCACUAAACUGGUCUCCAGGUAUUGACAUAGCAGGUUCCUCAAGUUUGCAGUUAACAAGUUGAAUGAGGUGAUGUCACAACUUUUCAUUGUAUGUGUGUGAUUUACUUAAUCCAAAAGUUAUGAGUGAUAUGAACCAGAAAGUAGUUGCAAGGUCCAGAGUAUGGAUCUAUGCUGUAUAUAUCACUGUGUGUCUUAAUUAUUUUUCUGGUCUAACAAGGGGACAGAAUAUCUGGUUUAGAUACUGGGGAGGAGGCAAAAAGUUAAGUACCAUGGCUGGUAGAGCCCCUACAGCAUGAAAUACUAAGUGCAGCUUUUGCAACUUCAGUGAACACGUAGACAAAGAAAAAAAAAAGAAUGUUGGAGAAUAUCCAGCACAUACGAGAACACAAACAGUCUAACACUCACGGUUCAUCCCCACAGAACAACACGUCUGCGCACAUCUUGUCUGCCCAAACAAAACACAGUGUGUGGAAAGAAGAUUGCAACAAAUCUGGCACACGAGACUUGAGUCAGCUGUUCAGUCUGGUGUUUCUUGUCAGUGGGCACGAGAAGUUUAAAAUGGCAGGUACACACCACUGCUCUGAGGAGCUGAUUGCCGAAUUUAUUGAUAUGUAUAGGAGCUGCACAAGCCAAUGGAAAAUCACAAGUUUCAGCUUUGCAAAUGGAUCUGAGAUUUCUUCUCGGAAAUUUAACAGUACUUAGUAACCGAUGGAAAAUUAUUGAGUAAAACAGAAGUGAUAUCUCGAAUUCCCCAAGGAGGUGUUUUAGGUGCUUCUCUACAUAAACGAUUUAGUAAAUAAUCGGAACAGCACUCUUGAUUGAUUGGAAAUGAUUUACCAUCUAGUGAAGUCAUUUGAAAAUCAAAACCAAUUGCAAGAUGACUUCGAAACAAUAUCUGAAUGGUGCGAAAAGUGGCAAUUGUCUCUCAAUGAGACCAAGUGUGAGGUCAUCCAAAUGAAUACAAAAAGAAACCAUUAAAUUUCGAUUACAUAAUAAAUCAUACAAAUUUAAAGACUGUCAUUUCGACUAAAUAUCUUGGAAUUACAAUUAUGAACAACUUAAAUUGUAAUUAUCAUAUACAUAAUGUUGUGGGGAAGGCAAACCAAAGACUACAUUUAUUGGCAGCACAUUCAGAAGAUGCAACAGGUCUACUGAAGAGAUUGUCUGCACUAUGCUUUUUCAUCCUCUGCUAGAAUACUGUUGUGCUGUGUGAGGCCCUUACCAGAUACAAUGGACAGAGGGCAUCGAAGAAGGGCAGCUCGUUGUAUAUUAUCGAAAAAGUUGGAAGACUUCCCUCAGGUGUUGCAGCUUGGAUGGUAGGCUGUCUUUGUCGCAGACGGCGAGCGCCCUAUGUACCAGUGUGGUCAGUACUGUUUGUCUUUGUGCUGGAUGGUGGCAGCUUGUUGCAUGAAGGUAUAGACCUGUGAUUUGACUGGAAAAGAACUGGACGCUGCCACAGUCGCAGUCCUCAAAAAAGGACUGAAUUUCGCCCCUGUUCCCAGAACGAUCCCGAAACGAGACAUUAUCAGUGACGUGGAGCAGUAUGAGGGCUUCCAACGGAGGGAGCGGAGGAAGUCAGAUGGGAAACUUGCAGAAUAAUCGACAGAUCUCAAUUGCCUAAAAAUAACAUAUCUGCGGAAGAACGAGCAGCUCUCCAGUCCCUUAGAGAUGACCCUGAUAUAACGAUCCUACCAGCGGACAAAGGGAACGCGACAGUGCUGUUAAGUACUGCCGAGUACCGGCAGAAAAUAAACCUCCUGCUACAAGACGAGGCCUACAAGAGGCUGAAGAAGGAUCCAACCCCGACGAUGAGUAGAAAGACGAUAGCUGUGCUGAAGAAAUAUGACUUACUGGAGCAAAUGAAGAAGCGAUUGUACCCCAGAGCUCCAGCGAUACCACGCCUCUAUGGACUCUCCAAGAUCUAUAAGGAAGGGGUACCUCAGACCGAUUGUGGACUCCAUCAUCUCUCACAGUUACGAACUUGAUAAACACCUAAAGACACUGCUCAAACCCCUUGUGGGACACUGCAGCCACCAUGUGAGAAACUCAGCCGAAUUCAUAAAAAUAGUCAGGGACAUGUGACUACAAAGGGAGGACCUACUCGUGAGCUUCGACGUGACGUUGCUUUUCACGAAAGUGGCUCUUCGAGACUCCUUGGCACUUUUAACCCAGCAUUUUGAACCACAAACAGUCAGCCUCUUCGAACACGCACUAACAACCACCUACUUUCAGUGCAACAGGGAAUUCUUUGAGCAGAUUGACGGUGUGGGGAUGGGCUCCUGCGACUGCAAACCUCUAUAUGGAACAUUUCGAGGACGUGGCCCUUCAAACUGCCAGACAGAAACCGAAGCACUAUUUCUGCUAUGUCGACGACACUUUUAUCGUGUGGGGACAUGGCAAACACACGCUAGAUGAGUUUCUUGAACACCUCAACAGCAUCCAUCCGAACAUCAAAUUUACAAUGGAAAUGGAGGAAAAUGGAUGCCUCCCCUACCUUGAUAUUUUAAUUAAGAGGAAGGCAGAUGGAUCACUAAGCCAUGCAGUACAUAGGAAGAAGACACAUACGGAUCUAUACCUUCAUACAACAAGCUGCCACCAUCCAGCACAAAGACAAACAGUACUGACCACCCUGGUACAUAGAGCACUCGCCGUCUGCGACAAAGACAGCCUACCAUCCGAGCUGCAACACCUGAGGGAAGUCUUCCAACAAAAUGGCUACAGUGAAACGCAGAUCAACAGGGCGCUUAAAGGAAAGAAGGAAGCAGUGAGAACCCCAGAAGAAAAUAAUGAAGGAGAAGAAGAAGAUAAACGACUCGCGUUCCUUCCGUACGUGGGUCCGCUCUCGGCCAAAAUUGCACGACUUCUGAGAAAAUACAAGAUCAAAACGAUUCUCCGACCACCACCGAAGACGAGGGAGCUCCUAGGUUCUGCCAAAGACGUGCUGAACCUUAACACACCAGGAGUAUACAGAAUACCGUACGAAUGCGGAAAGCAAUACAUUGGGCAAACACAGCGCUGCAUAUCUAAACGCUGCAAAGAACAUGAUCAGAUGUAUGCGACUAAGCCACACAGAAAAAUCAGCCAUAGCAGAACACAGCAUCAAUGAAGAACACACCUCCAACUUCGAAAACACGAAGGUACUGUGUCGAGCAUCUGGAUUUUGGGAAAGCGUUAUCAAAGAAUCCAUAGAAAUAAGAAUUCACGUGAAUCUGGUCAACAGAGACGAGGGAUAGCAACUUAGCGCAGCAAGGAACCCUGCGAUGGCGGCAAUCCUUCGGGAGGGCGCCGUCAACGUCCUCCGCCGCGGACGCAGACAGAAGGCUUACACCGAGAACCGAACGCGGCCGCCGGGGGCGCCCACCAUCCCCACCACCACCGCGCACGCCGCUGGUCCACCGCAGCCACCCGAGGUCUAGUGGAGGGGGGUGACAGAGCACAUAAAUAGGCCGCUCUCCACGAAUCUCGAUACUUCGCCAGAAGAUGGGUAGUAUGACACUUCCUGAAACGUCGCGAGAUAUCAACGCUACCAACCGGCUGGAGAUCCACUCACUGAGUGGCAGUCAAGGGUAGAGCAUCGCUCCUCUAGCUAGCGCACUGUCAGCCAUACGCCCCCACUUGCACGGGAGUACAAACAGUAGUGUUCUCUGACUUAGCAUAAACGGCACUUGGGAAAUUUUGCAAGGGCGUCGCCUGACAGCAGAAUUGUCGUGUCUUCUCGUCGCCGUGGUAUGUCGAGCUUGGGUGGUGCCUUGGGAUCGCGGCGGUCUCUUUCCUCUGACGACACGAGACGCGUUUUCAUGUUGCCGCGCGGCCGGCCGAUUCGAGCACUUCAGCUGCCUGACAUCCCC